rnacentral:rRNA from 1 species
UACGUAGGGGGCAAGCGUUAUCCGGAUUUACUGGGUGUAAAGGGAGCGUAGACGGUAAUGUAAGUCUGAUGUGAAAGCCCGGGGCUCAACCCCGGGACUGCAUUGGAAACUAUGUAACUAGAGUACCGGAGAGGUAAGCGGAAUUCCUAGUGUAGCGGUAAAAUGCGUAGAUAUAUGGAAGAACACCAGUGGCGAAGGCGGGUUCCUGGACAUUAACUGACGCUGAGGCACGAAGGCCAGGGGAGCGAAAGGG